CGGGGUGUAGCGCAGUUGGUAGCGCAUCUGCUUUGGGAGCAGAGGGUCGUCAGUUCGAGUCUGGCCACCCCGA
rnacentral:tRNA from 2 species